CCAGCUUUCAUGCACCUUUCAGUGAGGUGUGAAAACCAGGAUGUGCGCCCCAGUUCCCAAAGGUGGAAGCCCACAAGGAAGACCACAGGACUCAGCUGGGACAACUGUGAUUGUGGCUGCCAUCCAUGCAGAGCCUCCUGAGGGUUUGCUGAAGGAGCCACUUCCAGCCACCAGAAUCGGAGCUCCUAUUGAUGUGACCGUCCCCAGCUCCCCACACGCAAAGAGGGCUGUCUCUCUCCUCUUGCUUCUCAGUUUUAC
rnacentral:lncRNA from 1 species